AAAUGUCUCAAACUUUUCUAUAUCCCCAUGUCACACACUCACAAACUGAAAACAUAAUGUGUGUGCAAUGAAUUGGUUAGAGAGGUCUCAAAUAUCACUUUCGUUUGUAGCUUUAGAAUUGCAUCAAAGGUGAUUCCUGUUUCUGUCACGUCUUUGGCCACGUCAGCAUGGGUUAAACAAAAACACCCACUAAUUAGUUGGCAAAUACUGCCUCCCAACAAUGCAGGUGAUGGCUGCAUGGUGCAGUUGGUGAGAAGUGCAGCGACUGUAAGGCGACUUCAUCAAAAAGUGCAUGACCUUUGGUCACAUGAUUUUUGUAAAGAUCAUGUAGUCGCAAAUUGGACAAUGUUUCUAAGCAUAAUGCAACACACUUUGAAAGGCGUCACCGACUUGACAAAAGUGCUCCCCUCGAACGAGCCUUCUGGUUAAGAAUUGACAGAAGACCCCAUGGAUGGUAGAUAUAGCUGUGUGCUGACCGACCAGCAGGAGUGGGCAGUGGAAAUGGUGAGAGUCAGGAAUGACAUAUGGCUGUUUGAAAUAAAGCAGGUCAUUGAGGAGAACAAUGACACCUUUGCCAAUGUGGCAUUCAUCAGCCUUCCAACAAUCGCCCACCUUUUGAAAAGUCACCAGUUAUCUAUAAAACACAAUCUUUUGAGAGAAACAACAACCGAGUAAAACAACUGAGGGCCGAGUAUGUUCAGAGGGUGAUGGUGCCUGAUGCUGCUGUGAACCAUCGCAAAUAUAUCUUUGUUGAUGAAGCGGGCUUUAACCUGGCCAAAACUCGGCGCCGUGGGCGGAACCUCGUCGGCCAACGGGCGACCGUCCAACGUAGGGGGAACAUCUCCAUGUGCGCAGCUAUUUCUGAAGAUGGUGUGGUAGGACAUAGGCAUUAUUUAUAUACAAAGCUUUACACAAUGUGUUUCUCAAUUAAAUUGAGCAGGCCUAUCAAAGUGAAGGGGUCACCUAUGUCAUUGUGUGGGACAAUGUCAGGUUCCACCUUGCAGAGGUGUUUCAGGCAUGGUUUUGGGCCCAUCCCCGAUUCAUGAUCCUAUACCUGCCCACAUACACUCCUCUUCUGGAGUUGGAAGGUGUUAAAUCGCCAUCACCGAGAACGUGCCGCCCUCCUUCUGGCCAUGAAUGAGGCAUAUGACGACAUCAAUGCAGACUAAUGUCAAGUUUAGAUUCACAAUGCCGAAAGGUUUUUCCCACGGUGCAUGAACAAUGAGAACAUUCACUGUGAUGUGGAUAAGAAUAUUUGGCCAAAUGCUCAAGACAGGCUUGAUGCAAAUGAAUCCGUGAUAAACGUUAUGUUUUAUUUUCAUUUAUUUAAUUUCUUACAUUUGAUU